GUGCAGCAUCGUGCCUGCUGCUGUCGGGGACGUGCCGGUGGUGCAGCGGGAGAAACAGCUGCGGCCAGUCGCCUUUGUGCUCUUUCCUGCUGUGUCCCCAGUCCUUGAACAUGCCUGGUGUGGAGCAGUUGGAUGACUCCAUUCUCUUCUCUUGGGGAGCUCCUCCUUGCCAGAAGGUAGAACUCCAUCAGGAUGAAGCCCAGGAUCAGCCGGAAGCAGCAAAUGAGAGAUUCCUUCUAUCUCUGAAAUUCCCACACUCAGGGAACAACUGUCCCCACAAAGCCUGUGGUCAAGAGGCCCGGGGGGUGGCUCAUCCCCGCAGCCAAGGAAGCCAGAACGAGCUACUGUGCAAAAGGCUUUUGGAAAGAUCUGAGAUUUCCCAGGACUUCCUUGGUGGCGCAGUGGUUAAGAAUCCGCCGGCCAGUGCAGGGGACAUGGGUUUGAGCCCUGGUCUGGGAACAUCCCACAUGCCGCGGAGCAACUAGGCCCAUGAGCCACAACUACUGAGCCUGUGCUCUAGAGUCCUCGAGCCACAACUACUGAGCCCGCGUGCCACAACUACUGAAGCCCACGCACCUAGAGCCCAUGCUCUGCAACAAGAGAAGCCCUCGCUCACUGCAACUAGAGAAGCCUGCGUGCAGCAACGAAGACCCAGUGCAGCCAAAAAUAAA